GACGAACGCUGGCGGCGUGCCUAAUACAUGCAAGUCGAGCGCAGGAAGCCGUCUGAACCCUUCGGGGGGACGACGGUGGAAUGAGCGGCGGACGGGUGAGUAACACGUAAAGAACCUGCCCAUAGGUCUGGGAUAACCACGAGAAAUCGGGGCUAAUACCGGAUGUGUCAUCGGACCGCAUGGUCCGCUGAUGAAAGGCGCUCCGGCGUCGCCCAUGGAUGGCUUUGCGGUGCAUUAGCUAGUUGGUGGGGUAACGGCCCACAAAGGCGACGAUGCAUAGCCGACCUGAGAGGGUGGUCGGCCAGACUGGGACUGGGACACGGCCCAGACUCCUACGGGAGGAAGCAGUAGGGAAUCUUCCACAAUGGACGAAAGUCUGAUGGAGCAACGCCGCGUGAACGAUGAAGGCCUUCGGGUCGUAAAGUUCUGUUGUAAGGGAAGAACAAGUGCCGCAGGCAAUGGCGGCACCUUGACGGUACCUUGCGAGAAAGCCACGGCUAACUACGUGCCAGCCGCCGCCGUAA
rnacentral:rRNA from 1 species